UAUCAAAGAUACAUUAAUACUAUAAUAAUCAAUCAAUAUAAUAUUAGCGUUAAAAAGUUUGCAAGUGAAAUAAAACAAAUAAUAAUAAUAAAGAAGUUAUAAUAAUAAAAAAUAAAGACAAAUGAAGAUAACAAAAAAAUUUUAGGUAAGAGACAUCUGCGUCGUUAAAAGUUUAGAAGUGCUACUUUGCAGGAUUUUAUCGGAAAGAAGAACUACAUCAAAUGUAUGACUCAAAUUGUCCAGGGUUCUGGGGUGGUGAAAAACCUGAAGAAUAUUAUAACGGACGAAUUGGCCAUGCAGUACAAUAUUGAUGGAGUGUUGGGCAAAAAUUCGCUCAAAAGCUUUAAAAUUUUUUUCGACGCCCUUAUUGAGUCCAUUCCUACCGGGAUAGACGCUGGAUCGCCAGAGAAUCAACCGCGCCAAGCCCUUCAGCCAAGCCUUUCGAAUUAACGAAAUCACUAACGAUUUGGAGUCAGUCAAAUCACUAGCCAUUUUGAAGUAAUGAAAACGCUAGCGAUUCUGUAUUAGCGAUUUACUAACGAUUUUGGAACUAGUCAUUUCACCAAUGACUGGUAAUGCAGCGUCGCACCGCUCGAUUACUCUCGUAGGACAUUGCAAUGUAAAAAUCGUUAGUCAAAUAACAUUGCGAGUAAUCGGGAUGGAACUGGUUCUAAUGAUUAGGAAUUAGUCAUAUCGUUAGCUCUUCCCCAAUGGUACCGAACUACAGGGUUAUAUGAGGCACGCAUGCAUCUAUAUGCAACACGCAUGCACUCAACUACUAAUAAAUAAACAUAUUUAUAUGUAUGCACAAGAUAACCUAUUGGUUAUAAAAAUACAUUGGGGCAAUUGCUUGUGUGCAUUUGAAAUAACCCCUUAUCGUGCAACAUAUAAAAUAUACAAAUAGACAUACUCACAUACACUUAUAAUUAGUUCUUAAGAUAAUUCUAAAAUUUUUAUAGAAGUAAGUA